UCACUUAAAAUAACACAAUUUAAUAUAAAAACAAAAAAUUAAAUUUAUCGAAAUUUUAUAAAUAAUUUCGUAGUUGUUUGUUUGAUUAUUUAAGAGCAACAAAACAAAAAAUUUUAACAAUAAAAGUUAUAAUUUUAAAUAAGUUGUAUAAAAUGUGUUGAAAUCAAAAACUAAAUAAAAAAUAUACAAUAAGUAAAAUAAAUAUAACAAAAUAAAUAUUAAUAAACAAAAUUAACAAUAAAUAGGAAAUAAAAAACUGUAAAUAACCGAAGAGAGUAAAUUAGACGAAAUACACUGUAAAAAAUAUAUAUUUUAGUGCAGAAUCUAACAAUAGUUGUUCAUUACCACCUUUCUUAGUGACCUGUGACUCACCGUCUGUACCUACGAAGGUAAUACAUUUAACCGCUAUAGUUAAAAUAUACCGUUACUUCAAAGAAAUACAAAAUAAUAGAUUUUUAUUCUACAAAAUACAUUUUUUAUUUUCCAUAAAUGCUGUUUGAAACAAAAAAAAAUAUUAAAAAAAAAUUAUAAAAAAUUAAAUCAAAAGUGUAUAAUUCAUAAUUUUUUAUGUAUAAGAAUUGAAAAGGGCUAAAUAAUAUUAAACGAAAAGGCAUCAAUACGAAUACUUUCGUGUGUAUUCAAGGAUGGCUACCUUAAAUCUUUAAAGUAUGACUGCCUAAUACCCGAAAUCGCUACCGUCACUACUUAACGUGAAAAUAUUUUCCAACAGUCCAUUACUUACUCGAAAAACAUAUGAAAUUCCACACACUUCGCAUAAUUGAAUAUAUUUUAAAGUGAAAAUGCAAAAUGAAAAUCAAGAAAAUACAGAAAUAUACACUAUCUACAUUAAAAGCGCAUAAGUCUAAUUAAGUGUUUCUUAAGUUUUUAAAAUGAAAAAAGAAAUAUUAAUAAUAAAAUUAUAGUGCUCGAAACGAAGUGCAUUACAGACACGAAAUAAAUAUUUUACAGUUAUUGUAUAUGCAUGUAUUAUAUAAUGAGUUGCAAGAUCAACAUUUUUUGUAUGAGCUGCAAAGAAAUCCAUAUAAAUACAUAUAUACAGAUAUAUACAGGUUCAAUCAAUCAUAUACUGUCAUUUUCCAUUUGUAUGUAUGUUCACAGAAACCGUUAAAUGUUGUUAGCUUAGUUGUUAAUUGAAAAUUGUUAAAAAGUUUUUAUACCCAUAUAUAUAACUGUAGUACAAAGUUGCUAAAAAAUAUUUGUACACACAGAUUUAUAAAUAUACACACUGUUAAAUACUUGUAUGUAUGUAUUGAAAUCGCCUGUGUAUUUGUUAAAGUUAUUUCAAAGCAAUGUAGCAUAUUAAUUAAGCAAAAAUUGGCAAUGAAAAAAAUAUUUGAGCAAAAAAAGGCAAAAUUAUGCCUUACCAGCUGACCGAACAGUGGGACUUAAUAUAAAAAUUAUAGUGAACAGAUCCGAAGUAACUGGGUCAUAGGCGACGCAAUGGUUGUAUGGAUCCCUUUUUGUCACGGUUAAGGAUUAUUAAUACAACAGCGUUCUCAAAAACUUUUGGAAAGUGAAUUUUGUCUCCAAAAAAUCAACAAAAACAUUUAAUACCUGAUCAAAAUCUAACGAUUUUUAGUUUGAUAUUUAGCCACAAUUAUAGGUUAUGAUAUCUACAUCUGACUAAACACCAUUAAUGGACAGAAAUAAUAUUCUUUAAACAAAUUUAACACGAUCUUACGAUGCCUUGAGAACAGAAUAUCCACUUGAUUGGUUACUUCUAAGGUUCCGAUCUCUUUCCCUUAUAUAAUAUGCAUUCAGCUGAGGUUAAUGGAGUAAUUGACGUUUCGACGUUUUAUAAAAGCCUUAUAGGCACUUCAAAGAACCCCUCAUAUCAAUUAUAAACAAUACCCUAAGUAGUUAUUACUGUGACAAUUUGCUAACUGACUAAAUAAGCGGUCAGUCCGAAAUAUCUUUUACACUCGCUGUUGCUGUCAAAUUAAAUAUAAACAGCAUUGCAGUAUAAGAUUUUGGAUUCAGGUGGAACUUUCCAGUGCUCUGAAGAUAAUCUUGAAUAUUCUAGGAUUUAUGAUAAACGAGUUUCAAAUUUGAGCCUUUAUAAUGUUCCAAAAAUUAACGUUCCCCAAUCUAUUAUCCUUUUCAUAAAAGGCGAUCCAUUUUUCCAUUUUUUAAAGAAAAAACACAGGAACUUUUAAUUUAAAUCAUUGGAAAGGACAAUAUUUGGCAUUUAUUUUUUUGAAGAUUAUCUCUUUCAAAUGUUGGCCGCGGCUACGUCUCAGAUGGUCCAUCCGUUGAGUACAAUUUUCGAUGAGGAUUUCGAGCAUUUCGACUAGUAAUUGGGGAUUGACACGUGUAAGGUUUUCUCCAAGGUCUGAAUCGAAGCGGGAUUGCCCGCAUAGACUUUAGUCGAGUGAUAGCACAUCGUUAGACUUUUUCCUGUGACCGGCCCAAAAGGUGAAAUUAUCUGCUCACCGAAUUGUUCUUUCAAUAAAUCCAUUGAUUGAUGCGAUGCGUGGAAAGUGGCGCCAAAUAUGGAACGAUGAUUUCACCGGCCCACAAGCCACACCAAACUAUUGUUUUUUUCUGGAUGAAAUCGCAGCUCUUUAAUCUCUUCACGUUGCUCUUAGUCCCAAAUGCGACAAUUUACAUGACCAUUAUGUAAUGGAUCACAUCGCUAAACAAAUUUGGCUCGAAAACGCCGGAUCUUCUUGGAACUUUUCAUGAGCCCAUAGAGCGAAGCGAUGUCAUGAAGCUGUAGAAAAAAGGUCUUAUCGCUAGUAGUUCGCUUUAAAAUUGCUAAGCGAACAUUAUUUCAUCUAUUGGCUUUCGGUGUGGUGAAAUACACUGAUGUAUUCAUCAUCAAUAAAAAAACCGAUGAAGAUUGCGCCGAUUGUAAUCAUCUUUAUUUAGGUUUCAUAUUAUUAGUAUUGAACCACAGGCCAUGAAGUCCUUUUAUACGAAGCAAGAUGUCUUGGUACUUCAAAAUAAAUUGUUGCACGUCAUCAGCUGUUUUUGACAGCGUGAUCUAUCAGACAGCACAAUUCAUCAUGGAGUAAAUAUGUUGUUGAAAGCAAUUUUAUAUUUUUCGAUCUUGAUGGCAUCAAUAUAAAUGUAGAUCAAUUUCAUGUUGUUUUAAAAAAUUAGUUAAAUUAAAUAACUUCCAUAUAUGUUGGCUGGUAUCAUUCUGGAAUAAUUUUAAAAUAUUAAAGCUAAGACAAAAGGUAUAAUUUGAAAAACAAAAAAAAGUGUACACAUAAGGCGCAUUUAUGCUUUCGAUACAUAUUCGAAAUUAAUUUUCGAAAUUCGAAAUUAAUUUCUAUGCAACUGUUUGACAACUGAGUUUUUCUAUUUUAACGCACGCCACUAAGAAACCUUCAAACUGCUUCGUUUAAACCAUUUUUUGAAUCGAAAGGGAUAUGCAAGUUGAGCAACAACAGCUUGCUGAUUCCAUUUCCACGCACACCACUGUAUACAGAAGUAAAUUUCAGUAGUGCAACGUUGUUCAACUUUUUUAUGCUUAAUUGAAUUUACAACAAAAAUUCAAUAUAUAAAAUUGAAUUGAGAAAAUUCGUAAGAUCACCGCAAUUGCAUUAAAAUGUUAGUAUGUAUGUAUGUAAAACCAAAUAAUUAACAAAAUUUAAGCUUUUUAUAAAAAAAUGUUGUCCCCAAAAAUGGGAAAGUUACAAAAAUUAUAUGUAUAUGUGCAAUAUGUAUAUAGCACAUAGCGGAUAUUUAUUUGCAUACACAUACAUAUAGAUUAAAAGAUAAGUAAAUUUGUAGCUUUUAGCGGAGCGGCAGAGAGCGCAAUUAUUUAUAAAUAUUUGCAGCGUAGUUUUUUAUAUUGAGAGCAACAAUGAAGCGAAAAAAAGACAAAAUUAGCACAUUUUUACUAAAGUUGAAAGUAUGUAUGCGAAACCACAUACACACAUACUUAUAUACCCUAUACAAUUAAGCAGCAAGCAUUAACUGAGGCAAAGUAAAGUAUUUUGCAUUUGGUUUCAAGUUAAAAGUAAAAAAAAAAUCUAAUUGAAUUUAAAAAAACAAGGAUUUGCGGCUAAUUAAUAACUAAUUAAAUAUAUGAAAUAUAACCACAUAUUUAACUAAAAUGUAUUUAUGAAGAAAGAAACACUUAUCUAAUGUUAAUGUGUGCUGGCAACACAAUCUCUUCAGUAAUUAUUAAAAAAGAGAAAAAAGGGAGUAUAGUAAGAAGUGAUGAUUAUUUCAAAAUACUAAAGCUGAAUAAUAAUUUCGUAAUUUAAUUUUAUUCAUUUUAAAUUUGAAUUAUUUAAUUACAUUUUUGUUAUAAUAAUUUUUCCAAACCUGCUUGUAUUUCAGCACAAAAGUUAACUGAAUUGAAAAAUUCGCAGAAUUGGAAUAAAAUUGAUGUGAAUUUUGGCACAGAUGUCAUUGACAGUCAUACCAACCUAGAAAAAAAUAUUUCGAAGCAUGGGUUUUCGCCCAAAAAUUAAAAUAUUUAAGUCUUACUAUAUUUUGCCCACAGUAGUACGGUCGGUAUUAAUGCCAGAAUUUUUAAAUGUAGAUAAUUCAAGCUUCUCAUAAAUAGAGCGUUGACACUUUUUGAAUGACGAAUACAAGCUAUAAAAUCUUUUUGAAGUUGAAAAUUUGUUGAAGCUAUAUUUCUCUGUAAGCUGAAGCUUGAAACUUGAACAAUUUCAUUCACAGAUUCCUAAGACUAGAACUUAUCGGGCAAAGUAGUUAUCGGCAAAAUUUUGAUUUGUGAUCCACAAUGUUCCAUAACCAUAUAAACAUUCCAAAAAUAAUAAGGUUCAAGUAUUGAUUGAAUUGAAAUUUUUCAAAGGCACUGUAUUGAAAGUUAAAGUCAUUAGCUUAAUUUAAUCCACUUAUAACAAUCACAAUCGAAAUUAAGAAAAUGGUAUAAUAGAGAAGAUAAUUCACUUGCCCGUUUCAGAAGUUUCGAAGUUCCAGUGCUCAUAUUUCUUAUUCAAUUUCGAAAGAAUUGUAAUCGCACAAUGACACAAAAUAAUCAACGCUAUAUUUUCCUGUAGUUCAAAGGGUUUGAAAAAUAAUUAAUUUCCUCCUUAACUUUAAUUUACUUAGUUACCUUUGAUUGCCGUUAGCUUUCGUAAACAUUUUGCCAGUAAAUACUUUAGCAAAAAUUUGUUCGCAGCAAUCAAAUAAUUUUUAUUUUUCGGUUUCAUUUAAACAUUAAUUAAAUUAUGGCCUUUGAAUACAAAAAUGUUGAAGUUUAUAAACAAAAAAAAAAAAUACUUUUUCUGCUAUAAGCCUAACUGUAUAAUCAAAUUAAUGCACCUCAAAGCUUUAAAACUAUAAUUAAUACUUAAUAACUAAAUAUUUAAUUGACUAACGGUAUUUUUAAUAAAAUUCUUUGCAUACAAAUCAAGCAAUAAAAUCGUGAGAGAAAGUACAGUUAAAUCAUAAAUAUAUAUAUGAACAUAUCGCUGAUAAAGAUAUGAUGACCUGAGCAACAAAAACUUACUUAUAAACAAAUUUAAAUAUAAACUGUUAAAAAACGGCUAAAAUAGUUAAAAAGAUUUAAAACGCAUAUAUAAAACUGUUAAUUAAUGAAAUAAAAGGAAAUUAAAAUCAUGUUAUAUAAUAUUUGUAUGUAAUGAAAGCUAAGCAAUGCAAUGUAAAGAAGGCUUACGCUUAAUCUGCAAAUGAAGUUACAACUGUACAUUUCGAAACACCCUAUACGAUCGAGUUUUCUUAAAUGAAAUAUGACAAAACACCUACGUACACACAUAUAUUUAUAUACAAGUGUGUUUUCGAAAACCCAUUAAUGGCGGGAGUAACUAUUGUUUGCAAAUAAACUUGGCAAAUUUGAAACUGAAAUAUAUAUUUCAAGAAAAUAUUAA